rnacentral:rRNA from 1 species
UCGGAUCUAGUGGCGAACGGGUGAGUAAUGCAUAAGUAAUCUACCUCUGAGAUGGAAAUAACCUUGCGAAAGCAGGGCUAAUAUCCAAUAUCCUCAUUUUUCAUAAGUUAGAUGAGAAAAUCUUUUUGGCUUGGAGAGGGGCUUAUGUCUGAUUAGCUAGUUGGUAGGGUAAAGGCCUACCAAGGCGACGAUCAGUAUCUGGCGUGAGAGCGUGAACAGACACAAUGGGACUGAGACACGGCCCAUACUCC